GUCCUUUUGAAUUUAAUUUAAGGUUUAACCUGCCCACUGAAAUUAUUUGAAGGGCCGCAGUAAUUUGACUGUGCAAAGGUAGCAUAAUCAUUAGUUUUUUAAUUAAAAGCUUGUAUGAAGGGUUGGACGAAGUAAAUUCUGUCUCUAUUUAAUUUAAAUUAGAAUUUAAUUUUUAAGUUAAAAAGCUUAAAUUUUUUUAAAAGACGAGAAGACCCUAUAGAUCUUUAUAUUAAAAAUAUUAAUUUUAAUUAAGAAUAUUUUAUUUUUUAAUAUUUAUAAUAUUUUAUUGGGGUAAUAAAAAGAUUAAAUUAAUUCUUUUUUUAUUUUAACAUUAAUUAAUGAUUAUAUGAUCCAAUUUUAUUGAUUAAAAGAUUAAGUUACCUUAGGGAUAACAGCGUAAUUUUUUUAGAGAGUUCAUAUCGAUAAAAAAGUUUGCGACCUCGAUGUUGGAUUAAAAAUUAUCUUAGGUGCAGAAGUUUGAGAUUUUGGUCUGUUCGACCAUUAAAUUUUUACAUGAUCUGAGUUCAGACCGGCGUAAGCCAGGUCGGUUUCUAUCUUUAAUAAAAUAUAAUAUUUUAGUACGAAAGGACCAAAUAUUUAAUAUAUUUAUAUUUAAUUAUUUUGAAUAU
rnacentral:rRNA from 1 species